rnacentral:rRNA from 1 species
CGGGUAGGAGUAAUACAUAAGUAACCUGCCCUAGACAGGGGGAUAACUAUUGGAAACGAUAGCUAAGACCGCAUAGGUACGGACACUGCAUGGUGACCGUAUUAAAAGUGCCUCAAAGCACUGGUAGAGGAUGGACUUAUGGCGCAUUAGCUGGUUGGCGGGGUAACGGCCCACCAAGGCGACGAUCAGUAGCCGGCCUGAGAGGGUGAACGGCCACAUUGGGACUGAGACACGGCCCAA